rnacentral:rRNA from 1 species
UACGAAGGGUGCAAGCGUUACUCGGAAUUACUGGGCGUAAAGGGCGCGUAGGCGGCCACCGCAAGUCGACUGUGAAAUCUCCGGGCUUAACCCGGAAAGGUCAAUCGAUACUGCAGGGCUAGAGUGCAGAAGGGGCAACUGGAAUUCUCGGUGUAGCGGUGAAAUGCGUAGAUAUCGAGAGGAACACCUGCGGCGAAGGCGGGUUGCUGGGCUGACACUGACGCUGAACUGCGAAAGCUAGGGGAGCGAACGGG